rnacentral:rRNA from 1 species
CUACGGGCGGCAGCAGUGGGGAAUAUUGGACAAUGGGGGAAACCCUGAUCCAGCAAUGCCGCGUGUGUGAAGAAGGCCUGCGGGUUGUAAAGCACUUUCGGUUGGGAGGACUGCUUCUAGCACUAAUAUUGUUGGAAGUUGACGUUACCUUCAGAAGAAGCACCGGCUAACUCCGUGCACAGCAGCCGCGGUAAUCACGGAGGGUGCAAGCGUUAAUCGGAAUUACUGGGCGUAAAGCGCGCGUAGGCGGCUAGAUCAGUCGGGUGUGAAAGCCCCGGGCUUAACCUGGGAACUGCAUCCGAGACUGUCGAGCUUGAGUACAGGAGAGGAGAGUGGAAUUCCACAUGUAGCGGUGAAAUGCGUAGAUAUGUGGAGGAACACCAAUGGCGAAGGCAGCUCUCUGGCCUGAUACUGACGCUGAGGUGCGAAAGCGUGGGGAGCAAACAGGAUUAGAUACCCGAGUAGUC